rnacentral:miRNA from 1 species
AGGUGGGAGGAUGGCUUGAGCUGAAGAGAUGGAGGUUGCAGUGAGCUGAGAUCGUGCCACUGCACUCCAGCCUGGACAACAGAGGCAGACCUUGUCUC